rnacentral:rRNA from 1 species
GGCGGCCUACGGGGGGCAGCAGUGGGGGAUAUUGCACAAUGGGGGGAACCCUGAUGCAGCGACGCCGCGUGAGCGAUGAAGUAUUUCGGUAUGUAAAGCUCUAUCAGCAGGGAAGAAAAUGACGGUACCUGACUAAGAAGCCCCGGCUAACUACGUGCCAGCAGCCGCGGUAAUACGUAGGGGGCAAGCGUUAUCCGGAUUUACUGGGUGUAAAGGGAGCGUAGACGGCUGUGCAAGUCUGAAGUGAAAGCCCAGGGCUCAACCUUGGGACUGCUUUGGAAACUGUGGAGCUAGAGUGCUGGAGA